GGAUAACUCCGGGAAACCGGGGCUAAUACCGGAUGCUUGUUUGAACCGCAUGGUUCAAACAUAAAAGGUGGCUUCGGCUACCACUUACAGAUGGACCCGCGGCGCAUUAGCUAGUUGGUGAGGUAAUGGCUCACCAAGGCAACGAUGCGUAGCCGACCUGAGAGGGUGAUCGGCCACACUGGGACUGAGACACGGCCCAGACUCCUACGGGAGGCAGCAGUAGGGAAUCUUCCGCAAUGGACGAAAGUCUGACGGAGCAACGCCGCGUGAGUGAUGAAGGUUUUCGGAUCGUAAAGCUCUGUUGUUAGGGAAGAACAAGUGCCGUUCAAAUAGGGCGGCACCUUGACGGUACCUAACCAGAAAGCCACGGCUAACUACGUGCCAGCAGCCGCGGUAAUACGUAGGUGGCAAGCGUUGUCCGGAAUUAUUGGGCGUAAAGGGCUCGCAGGCGGUUUCUUAAGUCUGAUGUGAAAGCCCCCGGCUCAACCGGGGAGGGUCAUUGGAACUGGGGAACUUGAGUGCAGAAGAGGAGAGUGGAAUUCCACGUGUAGCGGUGAAAUGCGUAGAGAUGUGGAGGAACACCAGUGGCGAAGGCGACUCUCUGGUCUGUAACUGACGCUGAGGAGCGAAAGCGUGGGGAGCGAACAGGAUUAGAUACCCUGGUAGUCCACGCCGUAAACGAUGAGUGCUAAGUGUUAGGGGGUUUCCGCCCCUUAGUGCUGCAGCUAACGCAUUAAGCACUCCGCCUGGGGAGUACGGUCGCAAGACUGAAACUCAAAGGAAUUGACGGGGGCCCGCACAAGCGGUGGAGCAUGUGGUUUAAUUCGAAGCAACGCGAAGAACCUUACCAGGUCUUGACAUCCUCUGACAAUCCUAGAGAUAGGACGUCCCCUUCGGGGGCAGAGUGACAGGUGGUGCAUGGUUGUCGUCAGCUCGUGUCGUGAGAUGUUGGGUUAAGUCCCGCAACGAGCGCAACCCUUGAUCUUAGUUGCCAGCAUUCAGUUGGGCACUCUAAGGUGACUGCCGGUGACAAACCGGAGGAAGGUGGGGAUGACGUCAAAUCAUCAUGCCCCUUAUGACCUGGGCUACACACGUGCUACAAUGGACAGAACAAAGGGCAGCGAAACCGCGAGGUUAAGCCAAUCCCACAAAUCUGUUCUCAGUUCG
rnacentral:rRNA from 1 species